UUAACUCAUAUUUGUGUGGAAUGGGAUCGUUUGCCUACAUUCGUCGCUAGGGGCGCUGUUCCGACUGCAUACAAAUUUGAGUUA
rnacentral:pre_miRNA from 1 species